UACGGGGGGGGCAAGCGUUGUUCGGAAUUACUGGGCGUAAAGGGCUCGUAGGCGGCCAACUAAGUCGGAUGUGAAAUCCCCAGGCUCAACUUGGGAACUGCAUCCGAUACUGGAUGGCUUGAAUUCGGGAGAGGGAUGCAGAAUUCCAGGUGUAGCGGUGAAAUGCGUAGAUAUCGGGAGGAACACCUAUGGCGAAGGCAGCUCGCUGGGACGUUACUGACGCUGAGACGCGAAAGCGUGGGGAGCGAACAGG
rnacentral:rRNA from 1 species